rnacentral:rRNA from 1 species
UGGGGAAUUUUGGACAAUGGGCGAAAGCCUGAUCCAGCAAUGCCGCGUGUGUGAAGAAGGCCUUCGGGUUGUAAAGCACUUUUGUCCGGAAAGAAAUCCUCUGGGUUAAUACCUCGGGGGGAUGACGGUACCGGAAGAAUCAGCACCGGCUAACUACGUGCCAGCAGCCGCGGUAAUACGUAGGGUGCAAGCGUUAAUUGGAAUUACUGGGCGUAAAGCGUGCGCAGGCGGUUUUGUAAGACGGAUGUGAAAUCCCCGGGCUUAACCUGGGAACUGCAUUCGUGACUGCAAGGAUAGAGUAUGGCAGAGGGGGGUAGAAUUCCACGUGUAGCAGUGAAAUGCGUAGAGAUGUGGAGGAAUACCGAUGGCGAAGGCAGCCCCCUGGGCCAAUACUGACGCUCAUGCACGAAAGCGUGGGGAGCAAACA